GGGGCUCCCGCCGCCGACCCGGGACUGGCGGGGAAGAAGGCGGGCGGAGGGACGCCGCGCCCGAGCCGCUCCUCUGGAUGGCGACAGAGACGGCCUGGCGCGCCCGCAGCCUGGGCACCCCGGAGGACGGCCUGGCCGGGUGAAGUUUGCGGACUCGGGCCUUCCGGGUCCCCCUCCGCUGCCGCCGCCGAGGCCUGGAAGGCUGAGGGUGGGGGCCAGACGUCUCCUAAGCCCAGGAGACUCGCUCCCCAGUCCGGGAGGCCCGGGUGGCCCUGCUGCCGGGGGAGGCACUGGCUCCUGCGGGCACCUGCAGCAGCGCCACCCCGAGCUCUCCCUUCUUGCAGGUUGGCGGCCAAUAGGACUCCUGCCCCGGGACUCACAAGAUCUCCAUCCGGCACAGGGGCUGGGGCCUGGAGCACCCCGAGAGCUUCUUUUGGAGCCAGAGACCCUUUUCUGAGGAGCCAGUAGAGGGCCUGCGAGUCGGAUUGAGCAACCAGCGAGAAGCAGCGUCCUCCCUGCAUCUUGAGGCCUGGUCCAGGGAGGUGACUGCAGAGGUUGGGGGUCCUGACAACUUUGGGGUGGUCACGCACCCCUUGCCUCUGGAUGUGCAGGGUGGUCAUGGGACCCUGGCAGGGAGGGCCUCCCUUGAUGGGAUUCUGUGGAGCCAACCACUGAUGCCCAGGUCUCCACCUUCACCACUUCAUUACUUCCACCGAAGCCUUUUAUCCUGCUAAAAAGGACGUGGCUUUUAAAAUGUGACAGCUUCCAUUUCAUCCUGUCCAUGCGGAACUCCUGCACCAGACAUGCCUUCAUUCAGCCUCUACUCGUGGAGCACCUACUAGGGCCAGGCACUGGGGCUGGGAAAGCCAACAAGACACAGAGUUUCUGUCAGUUUGGGAAGCAGACAAGGAAACAAUUCCAGUGCAAUGUGGCGGCCGUCACGAUGGGAGGGAGUGGAGAGCCAGGAGGGAGCAUUUACCCUGAAUCAUGCUCUCGAGCGCAGCCAGUAAAAAUCUGAAUUAGUCGCUGUUUCACACCGCAGCUCACAAAUAAACAGGAAAGAGACGACCCAACAGUCAUCUUCAAGGAAAAUGAGCCCCGACAUGACCAGGCAGGCGGGCCGCCUGCAGGGGUCCUGGAAAGACAGGUGGAAGGAGGUGGGCUCAGGAGGACGGUCCUCAGACCGCAGCGCUGGAGGAGCCACGGGCGUGGGGGACUCGUGGAAGCCCUGGUCCCAUCCCAUGACUGCCUGGCCUCACCGAAGAACAGGAGAUCCCCAGAGACACAGCAGCCAACCUGAACUCAGCCCAGGCCGCCCUCCCAGCCAGAGUUCUCCCCAGCUGCCAGUCUUCCUUUUCCUGCCAUUGGGUCCCUCCCAGCCUAUGGGGGACAGCCGUGACCCUCAUAACCAUGAGAGGCGUGCUGCCUCAGAGCCUUCAGGUUCCUGAGGACAGAGACGCUUCAUUCUCUCUGUGUAUCCGGCACCCGGGAGGGCCUCCUGCAGUCUCCUGAUGAGAAGGGCGGAGUCCCACAAAGCACCCUCUCCUUACAGUUCAGACGGGGCGUCAGUGUCUUGGUUAACCAACACCUUAGUCCUGAAAGAUGGGCGUUGUCACCCUCAUUUCACAGAUGGGGAUACUGAGGCUGGGGAAGAAAACGGGCAUCUGUGCAGGAGUCAGACUCAGCCCAGAGGAGACAGGCACAGAGGGACACAUGGCCUGAAGACAGGGCUGGGCCCGGGAUGGGGAGGCUGCCUUAGGUCGGGGGAUGGGCUCCACGUGAUGCUUGCCAGGGCUUGGGGCAUUCUUGGUGUUAGGACUUGGGGCAGGGGUGCUGCUGUGUGACUGGCAUCCUGUGGGUGGAGGCAGGAGUGAGCUGAGCAUCAGGACGCCCACAGUGGCAGUGGCCCAGCCCCAAACGUCAGAAGUGCCAAGAUGAGAAACCCUCCAUGCCCUGGCAGGAGGGUACGCAGCGUCAGGAGGGGGUGCCGCCUGGAGGAGGCUGUCGCCAGCCCCAACUGAGAAGGCCCCUCCCAGGCUGCGCACUGCAGCUGAGCGGAUAAAGGAUCUUGAAUCUUCAGAGCUUAAUCACAGGCAGCCUUGUCAUUCUCAGAGUCAUGGGGACUGGGUUUUUUUUUCCUUUAUUUUUCUUUUCUUAACUUCAGAUGAUCGUAAUUGAAGGAAGCCGUCGCCCUUCUCUCUGGAUGCAGAGACAAGCCCUUGAGGCUGGCGGGGACGGGGUGCAGAGCACAGCUGAGCUCUGGUCUUUCAGCGGCAGCGGGGGAGGAAAGGGGGCUGGUGAGGGCUCGACGGUGGGCAGAAGGCUGGGGACACACUGCUGACCCCCUGCCCUCACAGAAGGAAAAAGGCCCAGAGUCAUUUAACUCACCCUGCCUGUCCCCCUGCAGGACAGGCACCCUCUGCUCCACUUACCCCACACCCAGGCACAGAACCUCUGGGUGUGAAGGUGCUUCAUGCUCAUGGCAGCCUGCAGAGCGCUCUGACGGGACCCUUCCCAUCUCCCACCCCUCACAUCAGAGCCGCAGGCCCAUCUGUCUCUCCUCCUGGGAGGGGCCAGGAUCACGGCCACCUGGUUCCCCACCUGCCCCGCCCAGUUUGGCUGAUACAAUUACUAGACCCCAAGGAGAGCCCUGAGUCCUACAGUGCCUGGCUGGGCGCAUCGAGGCCCAGGGAGGCCCAGGGAGGCCCUGUACCCAGCGCCAACACCAGCCUGGUCUCCGUGGUUGGGGCAGUAGAGAAGUUCCUUUAAGUUUCCUUUCUUGCCAAAUCACACGUGUGCUAAUAACUUUAUGAAGCCCCAUCCUCUGUAGCUGUUAGACACGCCAUGCUUACAGGCCCGUAGUACAUUCUAUGUCCUUGUACUUUAACC